GAUGAACGCUAGCGGGAGGCUUAACACAUGCAAGUCGAGGGGCAGCAUAGGGUAGCAAUACUCUGAUGGCGACCGGCAAACGGGUGAGUAACGCGUAUGCAACCUACCCUGUACAGGGGGAUAACCCGGAGAAAUUCGGACUAAUAUCCCGUAAUAAUAUCCGGAGGCAUCUUUGGAUAUUUAAAGUUCCGACGGUACGGGAUGGGCAUGCGUAACAUUAGCUGGUUGGUAAGGUAAUGGCUUACCAAGGCUAUGAUGUUUAGGGGUCCUGAGAGGGUGGUCCCCCACACUGGUACUGAGACACGGACCAGACUCCUACGGGAGGCAGCAGUGAGGAAUAUUGGUCAAUGGGCGCAAGCCUGAACCAGCCAUCCCGCGUGCAGGAAGACGGCCCUAUGGGUUGUAAACUGCUUUUCCAGGGAGAGAAACUUACGCACGUGUUGCGUGACUGACGGUACCCUGGGAAUAAGCAUCGGCUAACUCCGUG
rnacentral:rRNA from 1 species